rnacentral:rRNA from 1 species
CACGUAGGAGGCAAACGUUAUCCGGAUUUACUGGGCGUAAAGCGCGUGUAGGUGGUUCUGUAAGUAGGGCGUGAAAGCUCCCGGCUCAACUGGGAGAGGCCGUUCUAAACUGCAGAGCUAGAGGAUGGUAGAGGGAGGUGGAAUUCCAGGUGUAGCGGUGGAAUGCGCAGAUAUCUGGAGGAACACCAGUGGCGAAGGCGGCCUCCUGGACCAUUCCUGACACUCAGACGCGAAAGCUAGGGCAGCAAACGGGAUUAGAUACCCCGGUAGUCCCU